UCAAGUCUGUAGAGACAGAAAGGAAAACGGUGGUUGCCGGGGACUGAGGAGAGAGGGGACUGGGAGCUACUGUUCAGCCAACACAGAGUUUCCAUCCGCAGGAUGAAAAGAGUUCCGGGGGCUGGCUGAGAAGCGAUCUGAGUGUCAGUAACACUAUGAGCUGUACACGCAAAAACGGGUAAGACGGUAAAUUUCAUAUUACGUAUACUUUACCACAGUUUCUUUAAAAAGAUGCCAGAAUCUUCCACGUCCUUCCUUGGAGCCAUGAGCACCACACAUCCAGCCAACCUGGGCUCUCCAAAGUCCAAGCUCAGAAAGAACCCAGGUCACAUUCAAAAUCUCCCUGAGCAAAUCCCUUCCAGCCAGUGGGAACCUUCCCAUUGCUGAACGUCGAUAGCCACGUAAUUAAGAACGUAAUCUCAGUUCCAAACUGUGUUGCAGGAGAGAAGUUUUAGACACUGCAAAGUUCCCAUAUGCCUAGAACAUUAAGAAGCUUCCAGCUGCAAUAACAUUGCGUUUCUUUUUAAAAUGUUUGUUUUUGGCAAGUUCCUGGGCCAGGGAUUGAAUCCAUGCCACAGCAGUGACCUGAGCCACAGCUGUGACAAUGCUGUAUCUUUAACCCACUGGGCCACCAGGGAAAUGCCCAGAGUUGUGUUUCUUGCUCUGGACGGUGGUAACAGGAGUGUGUUUAGUUGUGAUAAUUCAUCAAGCUAUAUGUUUAGGAUUUGUGCAUUUUCCCUCAUGUAUGUUAGACUUUGAUUUAAGUUAUUAAAACUUUUUCAAUCUUAUUUUGUUAUUUAUUCCUUUAUUCAUACAAUCCUUGGUCUCUCAAAGAUGAUAUGUUCUUCAAGGCCUCACAAGAGUCUAGCAGAAUGCUAGGCUUCUAGUGAGAGCUUCAUAUUUACCUACUGACUUCACCGAAAUUUGGAGAUCCAGGCAGUAGCAGAGGAAAAUGGCAGCACACAAGGCAACAGGAUGGCUUCCCAAAUUCCUUCAGUAUCAAGGAAACAAGAGCUUCCUGAACCCAAAGUUGCAGGUUAAUCAUUCAGCCCUGGCAGCCCAUACAGGCUCAUGGAUGAAAGAAACUCAGCUGGACUGACGCGAAGCCACACUCUGGGAAGGCAAUAAUUUGGAUUUAAAAAAAGAUACGUACUCUACACACACACACACACACACACACACACACACCAAAAGCACCAGGUCAGUAGAGCCUGACUCCAGCCUUCUCAUAAGAAAAAUUAACACGAUGGAGUGAAAGUUUGUGCCUGUACUGAGAAGUAGCUUAAACAAAAAUAGAUUUGCAAGUGGCAAACUCUGCUGAACCCUGGCUGACUCUCAAGGAAAAUCAAAAUCUGAGUGAGAGUUCCUUGGCCUGGAAAAGGCUGAUGACUACCAUUUACUCCAAGAAACACAAGGGCUGGAAACAGAAGGGCUGGAAGCAAAGGACUUUCAAAGGGGUGAGGUGGAGCCCCCAGGACCACUGGUAGGAGGGGUCAGUUGGAGCCUCCCUCCCACUGGAGACUUGUGGACACUGAGCCUUAAUACAGCCUCAUGCGCUGGGAGGUGGAUGGUGGGCUUGUUCCCAUUCUGGCUGCUCAGCCAUGUCUGGCUGGGCUGGGCUGGGCUGGGCUGUGGAAGGUGCCAAAGAGAAGCCAGAGCCUCCCCCUCGCUCCGCCCUCGCCCCCUGGGCCUGGGCAGAGAAGAGGCCGGGGCUGCAGGGACGCUGGAGGAGGACAGGGCUCCAGGGGGAUGACUAAGCUCUGAUGCAAACACCCGCGUGUGUGAGACAAGCGGAUCUGGAGCAAAGGGCCGUCCUGGUCCUGGGUCCUGGGUCCUGGGUCCUGGUCGUGGCGUCAGGAAGCCCUGGGGCCCCGAGCUCAGGAGGGAAAACGGACCUUCGGCGUCCAGGUCAAUUUCAGUCCCCGAAGUCGUUGCAAAGACAGACGACUAAGAAUGAUCAGAAACCACUCAGCAAACACACGGCCUUGUAACAUAAUAAGGGGAUGACCACCGGGCAACUGAACUGACUCUCAGACACUCGACCCAUAUCCCUGGUUUCUUCAUGAGUGAAAAUAACGGAACAGUUCAAGUCCAUCCUCUGAAGGCUGCCUGUUUCUAAUGAAGCCCCAGGCCCACUGCAAACUUCUCACGUCUCUUGACAACUCAUGGAGGUAUCGCCAUCAAGGCAGCCAGGGAAACGUCUAACUGAAUUGCCUAGAUAGUUUUGUUUCAGGUCAGAGAGUGAAGGUCCCAAGGGCCCCGUUUGUGUAGGACAGUGGGGUUUCUUCUAGAACACAAAGGUAGCUGCGGUGGUUGGUAACCUGAGGCUCAUCUUUCGUCUAAUUGAUGGAGAGCCUUAUCCUCUAUUACAUCUAUUAAAUCAACUGGUCGGGGCGGGGGGGCGUUCUCAGCUCAGAGCAAUCUGAAAAGACCCUUUCGCUUUCCCAUCAAAACCAUCUCCACCACUCUUCUUCUAGUAUCCAAAUAUCUCUUUUCCUUGCUUCACAGAGCUCACAGUUUAAGCAGAGUAAGCGUGUCUGUUUUCAAUUCUUAACUUUUCACACACAUGGCAAAUGAGAGGAACUUUUGAACACUGCAAUCAUCUGGCUGAUGAGCAAGCUGUUUUCCAUUUCUGGCAACAAAUACUUUUGGCUUAUCUUGAUGGGAAGAAAAGGGAUGAAAAUAUACUCUGGCUGGAUAUCAUUGAUAGCAUUUGUCAUCUUUGCAGCUAAAAAAAAUUAGCUUAGAAAAAUUCUCCCUUGGUAUUGCAGAAGAUGGCAAAAGAAUUGACAUCGCCAACGAGAUGCCAGCUGAACUGAAUCCGUAAACAAAGUAGAACAAACACAACAUCUCGUCAAGAAAUGGGAUGAGGGCUGGGCCGGCAGGUCUUUGGGGCCUGGACCAGGAUCUCCAUGGCUGACACAGUACCUUUAAGGGCUCCCUUUACACGUCGGAAACCUGUCCCCCUCUGUGUGAGUCUGCUAGGGCUUCUGCAACAAAGUUCUACAAACGGGGCAACUGAGACGACAGGUGUGGGCUGCCUCACAGCUCUGGAGGCUGGAAGUCCGAGAUCAAGGUGUGGACAAGCUGGUUUCUCCCGAGGCCUCCCUCCUUUGGCUCACGGAUGGCCAUUGUCUCCCUGUGUCCUCACUGUGUCCUCAUCUCCUCUUCUGUAAGGACCCCAGUCUUACUGGAUUAGGGCCCACCCAGAUGGCUUCAUUUUAACCUGCUGACCUCUUUAAGACUCAAUCUCCGAAUACGUUCUGAGGUAUCAGGGGUUAAGACUUCAACAUACGAACUUGGAGGGAACCCCUUUCAGCACCCGAAGCCCUCUGAGGGACCCAUUUAGCUGCCUAAGCCCAGCUCUAUCUCAGCUCUGAGAGGCUCUGAGCCUGUGACCAGGACCGAUCCACGCGUGAAGUGAGGAGAGUCCUGACAGGGCACCCAUCUUGCCAUGACUCACUCACAACAAAACAUGGAGGAAGUCAGAUGGACGGAUAGCAGGUCUUUUGAAAGCCGGGAAGCCCAUCUCACGUAUUCCAGGGGCUAUGAGAACUAUGAUGCUGCCCCUCAGAAGGAUCGGAAAGACCAAUAAACAGGAUGACUUCCGCUUUUAAGUUGAAAGUGUUUUAUGACUGCAUUUUCUCACCGUCACUGACCAAGCCCAUUCACCAAAGCCCUGAACAGAAGGGUUUUCCCCUCUAACUUUUAAAAACAGCAAACGGCAAAGGAAUGAAUCAUCAAACAGGCAGAACACUCUUCCUAUGACUCUUUUACCUGAGUAAAAACAUUACUUCCUGAAAGCGUGAAAAAAGAGAAAAGUGGCAAGAGGUGACUAACAGGGGUGCCUGGGCUGAUGCACAGAGCUUCGGGACAGCACGAACUUUGGAGGCAGGCGAGGUUACGCGAUGAAAGGAAGGUGGGUGAGCACACGCCCUCAGCUCCCCCAGAGAAAUAAGGCUUGAGGGGACUGUGAGUAAGAGGCUCCCCAAAAAAGAUGUGUAACUGAACAGUGCCACCAACGUGCAGCAGUGGGUUGGGUAUGAGGUUCUAACUACCCUGUGACACAUAUUCACAGAGAAACUGGGUGGCUUUAUUUAAAUGACAAUUUCUGAUUCAUCACUGCCUGCUUGCGGCGCUGCUCAGCAGCAGGGCUCAUGGAUCAGCCCUGUUUAGUCAUGAGCAUGUGCUGGCCCUGCUGGGAAGUGACGGGAAGGUCAGCGACUCACGACGACCACAGAGUUCCAUGGAGGGGACGCAGGGCUGCACGGUGGCCUGGGCUGUGGGUUGAUUUGUGUCUCCCCAAAAAGAUAUGUUGAAGUCCUAGCCCCCAACACCUCUGAAUGGGACCUUAAUGAGAAACAGGGGCAUUGCAGAUGUCCUUAGCUAAGAUGAGGCCAUGCUCCGAGGGUGGGCCCUUAACCCAGUGCGGCCAGUACCUUAAAAGAAGAGACUGGAUCUGGGCACAGAAACAGAGAUAUACAGGAAGAACGUCAUGUGAUGCUGGAACAGAGGGUGCUAUAAAGCAGGGAAUUUCAAGGAUUGCCAGCAAUUCUGAGACCCUGGAGAGGCAAGGAGGGAGUCUCACUACAGGCUUCGGAAGGAGUGUGGCCCUGCUGACACCUUGAUUGCAGAUCUCCAGCCGCCCAACUGAGGAAAUAACUCUGUCGUUGAGUGAACCCAUUCUGUUGUACGCUGUUACACGGCAGCCAUAGGAAACCAAACAGCCCAUCACCCAUUGUGCUGACGACAACACGCUUCCCUCCACACGUGUUUCUGCUCCAUGGCUUCCAAAGCAACGCUCUUCUAAAGGUCUCCACUUUUCGGAUCUUGGCUUUUUUCCAAUGUUCAAAAACCAUACAAGACUUUCAUUGGUCUCCCAUUCUCUUGUGCCAACAUGUUGCACAAAAACCCAUUAGGUCCACGCUGGAGACAAAUCUAUGUGUUUUUCGGUGGGAACCUCUUCUGUAAUCUUGGCUUAUCACCCACCAUCAUGACCUCGAACACAUCUGCAGGCCUUCGUGUCUGCAUCAUACGAAGAUGGACUUGAACUACAGUAAUUUCUAGUCAGAAACACUGGAGACCAUUUCUUCUUCUUUUUUGUCUUUUUGCCUUUUCUAGGGCUACUCCCACAGCAUAUGAAGGUUCCCAGGCUAGGGUCUAAUCGGAGCUGCAGCCGCCAGCCUACGCCACAGCCACAGCAACGCAGGAUCCGAGCUGCGUCUGCAACCUACACCACAGCUCACGGCAACACUGGAUCCUUAACCCACUGAGCAAGGCCAGGGAUCCAACCUGCAACCUCAUGGUUCCUAGUCGGAUUCACUAACCACUGAGCCACGACGGGAACUCCAUGGAGACCAUUCUUGAUUGGUGUUUUAGACUCCAAAGUGAUGAAUAAAAAAGGGAGGAAAACAGGGUAAAUCUCCUUCUCCCUUGUGCUAUUUCUGAGGUCUUGAUCCAAAAAUUAAAGGGAAGAUGUUUGCUCAAUAAACUGUCUAGCCAAGCAGCAACAGGAAAGAGAAAGGAUAUCAAUUUGGAAAUUCAAAGCUCCAACCAUAGAGCUAUGAAUUAAUCAACCAAAAACAUUUUUUUUUUUUUUUUGGUCUUUUUUAAGGCCGCACCCAUGGCAUAUGGAAGUUCCCAGACUAGGGGUCAAAUCGGAGCUGUAGCUGCCAGCCUAUGCCACAACCACAGCAACGCCAGAUCCAAGCCAUGUCUGUAAACUAUACCACAGCUCAUGGCAAUGCCAGAUCCUUAACCCACUGAGCAAAGCCAGGGAUCGAACUUGCGUCCUCAUGUCAACCACCAUUUAUUGAUGUCUACUGAGAGCCUGAAUAUACAAAGGAACAUUGGCCAGAUCAUAUAUAAUAAAAAUAGAGUUCUGACCUACACGCUGCAGUGAGCAGCCCAGAGAACCAUCCAUCAUCUACAGUAACCAGCCCAGGAAGGCAGCCUACUCUAAAUCAGGCUCACAGAAAGUCAGACUACUAUCAGCAGCAACAAUCCAGAAGUCAAAUAAUAACCCCUGUAACAACUGGCCCCAAAUGGCCAGAACUCAAUAACGGAGAGCUUUCCUAAUUUUUGUCCCCACUUCCGUCUUCAGACAAACCAGAGAAAGUCAAAUACACACUCCUCCCCCAUCGCAGGGGACGCCUUGCUUCUAGCUGGCCUGCCUCCAGCUUCGCAGUGGCAAUAGUGUCCAGUGGAGACACUCCUGAAGAUGUCCCCUUUUCCACUAUAAAUCCUCCCCCUCUUCGGCCUGCCUCUGAGUCUCUGCCAGAACCUAAGUGACAGUGGCGGACGCCCUUGCUCAAGGAAGUUCUGAAUAAAUAACCUUUGCUCGUUCUC